UUGUGGCAAAAUUCCCUAGG
rnacentral:miRNA from 1 species